rnacentral:lncRNA from 10 species
GAGCGGGCAGAGCUCGGCACUGCGCCGGGGCGCACGGCUCGGGGGACCCAGGCCCAGCUACCUUCCCUCCGCCCCCGGGCUCUGUUCUCACUUUCCAGCAGUGGAAGGACGGGAAGCGGGAGCCAUGCAGUCCGAAUCGGGGAUCGUGCCGGAUUUCGAAGUCGGGGAGGAGUUUCAUGAAGAGCCCAAAACCUAUUACGAACUCAAAAGUCAACCGCUGAAGAGCAGGUUUCCUGAGGCCUCCCCUGAAGCUGAGCAGAUGCCAGCAUCAUGCUUUCUGUGGAACCGUGAAGCACCGUGAUUUAAUCAGCCCAUGGAACCAUGAGUGAAUUAAACCUCUUUUCUUUAUAAGUUACCCAGCCUCCGGUAUUUCUUUAUAGCAAUGUGGACUAAUACAGAAAAUUGGUGCCAAGAAAUGGGGCAUUGCUAUAAAGAUACCUGAAAAUGUGGAAGCAACUUUGGAAUUGGGUAACAGGCAGAGGUUGGAAGAAUUUGGGGGACUCAGAAGAAGAUAGGAAGAUGAUGGAAAGUUUGGAAUUUCCUAGAGACUGAUUAAAUGGUUGUGAACAAAAUG